UACAGAGGUCCCAAGCGUUUGUUCGGAUUCACUGGGCGUAAAGGGUGCGCAGGUGGCUGUGUAAGUUUGAUGUGAAAUCUCCGGGCUCAACCCGGAAAUGGCAUUGAAUACUACAUGGCUGGAGGUUUGGAGGGGGGACUGGAAUUCUCGGUGUAGCAGUGAAAUGCGUAGAUAUCGAGAGGAACACCGGUGGCGAAGGCGACAUCCUGGACCGGUAUUGACGCUGAGGCGCGAAAGCCAGGGGAGCAAACGGG
rnacentral:rRNA from 1 species